AUUGAACGCUGGCGGCAUGCCUUACACAUGCAAGUCGAACGGCAGCGGACCUUCGGGUGCCGGCGAGUGGCGAACGGGUGAGUAAUAUAUCGGAACGUACCUUUCAGUGGGGAGUAACGUAGCGAAAGUUACGCUAAUACCGCAUAUUCUGUGAGCAGGAAAGCAGGGGAUCGCAAGACCUUGCGCUGAUUGAGCGGCCGAUAUCAGAUUAGCUAGUUGGUGAGGUAAAAGCUUACCAAGCCGACGAUCUGUAGCUGGUCUGAGAGGACGACCAGCCACACUGGGACUGAGACACGGCCCAGACUCCUACGGGAGGCAGCAGUGGGGAAUUUUGGACAAUGGGCGCAAGCCUGAUCCAGCCAUGCCGCGUGAGUGAAGAAGGCCU
rnacentral:rRNA from 1 species